rnacentral:rRNA from 1 species
UACGUAGGGUGCAAGCGUUGCUCGGAAUCAUUGGGCGUAAAGCGUACGCAGGCUGUUCGUUACGUCGGGUGUGAAAGCCCGGGGCUCAACCCCGGAAAUGCGCCCGAAACUGGCGAGCUUGAGUGCGGGAGAGGGAAGCGGAAUUCCUGGUGUAGAGGUGAAAUUCGUAGAUAUCAGGAGGAACACCGGUGGCGAAAGCGGCUUCCUGGCCCGACACUGACGCUCAUGUACGAAAGCGUGGGGAGCAAACAGG